AUUGAACGCUGGCGGCAGGCCUAACACAUGCAAGUCGAGCGGAUGACGGGAGCUUGCGCCUUGAUUCAGCGGCGGACGGGUGAGUAAUGCCUAGGAAUCUGCCUGGUAGUGGGGGACAACGUUUCGAAAGGAACGCUAAUACCGCAUACGUCCUACGGGAGAAAGCAGGGGACCUUCGGGCCUUCCGCUAUCAGAUGAGACUAGGUCGGAUUAGCUAGUUGGUGGGGUAAUGGCCCACCAAGGCGACGAUAUGUAACUGGUCUGAGAGGAUGAUCAGUCACACUGGAACUGAGACACGGUCCAGACUCCUACGGGAGGCAGCAGUGGGGAAUAUUGGACAAUGGGCGAAAGCCUGAUCCAGCCAUGCCGCGUGUGUGAAGAAGGUCUUCGGAUUGUAAAGCACUUUAAGUUGGGAGGAAGGGCAGUAAGCUAAUACCUUGCUGUUUUGACGUUACCGACAGAAUAAGCACCGGCUAACUCUGUGCCAGCCGCCGCCGUAAAAC
rnacentral:rRNA from 1 species